rnacentral:misc_RNA from 1 species
GAUGAAGAACGUAGCGAAAUGCGAUACUUGGUGUGAAUUGCAGAAUCCCGCGAAUCAUCGAGUUUUUGAACGCAAGUUGCGCCCGAAGCCAUUCGGCCGAGGGCACGUCUGCCUGGGUGUCACGCAUCGUUGCCCCCCCAAACUCCGGUUCGGGCGGGGCGGAAGUUGGCCUCCCGUGCGUGCCUGCGCGCGCGGGUAGCCCAAAAGCGAGUCCUCGGCGAUGAGCGCCACGACAAUCGGUGGUUUUUUUACCCUCGUUCCUCGUCGUGCGUGCCCCGUCGCCCGAACGCGCUCUUGCAACCCUUACGCGUCGCCUCGGUGGCGCUCCCAACGCGACCCCAGGUCAGGCGGGACUACCCGCUGAGUUUAAGCAUAUCAAUAAGCGGAGGA